CGGAGGGUGCGAGCGUUAAUCGGAAUAACUGGGCGUAAAGGGCACGCAGGCGGUGACUUAAGUGAGAUGUGAAAGGCCUGGGCUUAACCUAGGAAUUGCAUUUCAGACUGGGUCGCUAGAGUACUUUAGGGAGGGGUAGAAUUCCACGUGUAGCGGUGAAAUGCGUAGAGAUGUGGAGGAAUACCGAAGGCGAAGGCAGCCCCUUGGGAAUGUACUGACGCUCAUGUGCGAAAGCGUGGGGAGCAAACAGGAUU
rnacentral:rRNA from 1 species